UACGAAGGGUGCAAGCGUUACUCGGAAUUACUGGGCGUAAAGCGUGCGUAGGUGGUUCGUUAAGUCUGCUGUGAAAGCCCUGGGCUCAACCUGGGAAUGGCAUUGGAAACUGGCGGGCUAGAGUGCGGUAGAGGGUAGUGGAAUUCCCGGUGUAGCAGUGAAAUGCGUAGAGAUCGGGAGGAACAUCCGUGGCGAAGGCGACUACCUGGACCAGCACUGACACUGAGGCACGAAAGCGUGGGGAGCAAACAGG
rnacentral:rRNA from 1 species